CAAUAUUAUGAAUAUUUUUGUGAACUUUUGAUUGACCUGCGUUCAAUGGAUAUGCUCGAACUGCGCAACGUAAGCGCGCAAAUGAGCAACGUGAACGCAAAAGGCUCAAAAUCAAAUGUGAAUUUAACAAUUUCAAAUUGUAUAGUGAAUAUGUAGACUAUCACAAUUAUCCCAUGCAUAUGACGUCGCACAUUUGACAAUGACACCGAUGUCAAGCUAAGCGAAUCGUUGCUGGGGACAUGAUUCAAUCGG